UACAUCCCAUCACAUCGCAUCCAACUUCCACUAAGCCUACAAGAAUGCAAAUUGUCGCAAAUAAGUGGUGAACAUGGGUAAAUUUAAAUUUUAACAUAUUUUUUAAAAUAUCCUUAAUACUUCCACAAAUUAAAUCGAAAAGGUAACGUGUCUUUUCAGAAUACAUAUGCAGCGUACGAGCUAGAACAACACCGUUUCAGGUAAGGCUGGCCAGACUUGAGGCUGAUAUGCAUGGUGAAAUGAAUAGUCCUUUCUGAGAGUGGUUGGGUACCAUGGAGUCAUGGCAAUAAGCUCAAAGUUCCGAUGACGAAUCUUGAUAUGGUAAUAUGACCACUAACCUAACAGAGGCUGUUAACUUUGUCUUGAAGCGAACACGAUAUAUUCCAAUUUCAUUUGUUUUUUCAACUACGUUUUACAAGCGAGGAACCUUGAUGCCAAGAAUGGGGCUGAAACAAGUAAACCAGAUGAAAGUGAUACACAUGUUUGUUAAGGAGGACAGGAAGACAA
rnacentral:lncRNA from 1 species